CAGUCGCCACGGGAUUACGUAGGUGGCUAGCGUUGUUCGGAUUUACUGGGCGUAAAGCGCACGUAGGCGGACUUUUAAGUCAGGGGUGAAAUCCCGGGGCUCAACCCCGGAACUGCCUUUGAUACUGGGAGUCUUGAGUUCGAGGGAGGUGAGUGGGAUUGCGAGUGUAGAGGUGAAAUUCGUAGAUAUUCGCAGGAACACCAGUGGCGAAGGCGGCUCACUGGCUCGGUACUGACGCUGAGGUGCGAAAGCGUGGGGAGCAAACAGGAUUAGAUACCCCUGUAGUCCCUGUCUCUUAUAC
rnacentral:rRNA from 1 species